UGAUGAAUGGGCCAAUUUUUGGAUGCUGCAGUGGAAAGAAUGGCCCUGACAGUCACCAUCUUCACAACAGGGGAAAAGAUCCAUCUGCAACCAAUGGGCUUCUUCCCUGCAGCUUCAGCAUAGCUGGAAGGUUCUAUCACAGAGGAAGCUGCUGCAAUAAAAUGUUGAUGAGAAGGUGAGAGGUGAGAGUAGCUUACAUAGUUGGACAGAGGAUAUUGGACAUCCUGAUUAACAUUCAAGGAGACAAAAUCCUUCAUCCAUGUGGGAGGAUGUUUAGACCUGGCAGAUUUUCUAGUGAGAGGAGGAUCAGGCAUAUC